GCUCCAUCUUUUUACAGUUAUUUAUAUUUGUUUCAUGAUUUUUUUAUAUAAAUAUAAUGUAUACUUCAUUUACUUAUGAACCUUGAAUAAGAAAUCAACUGAAACUAUUAGCAUUAAUUUAUUUAUUCAAAAUAAAAUUUUGUUUGUAUAUAUAGUGUAUAAAUAAAAACAGAAAAAAAACAUAUAUAUCAAUAUACAUUGCAAUGCACUUUAGGAGAGCUGAAACUGUUUCUGAUAAGUUUACUUUUGAUUUUAAUUCUACUUAUAGAUAGACAUAUAUACAAUAAAAUAAAAUACUGAUUAGUAUUGACUUGUUGUAUCUUAUAUCUCACAAUGUAUUAUUUUUAACCUUGAGUAUCUUUUCAUAAAGGCUUCAAAUAUGAACCCAAAUUUUAUUAAAUCAGAAAAAAUUACAAAAAUUUUAAAUUUCAAAAUUAAAUGCCUGUGUCCUCAAUCCAUUUCAAAUUUCUUAACAAAAAUAUCAAGGUACCUUUUUCAUUUAUUUGCUUAAUAGAUAAGACUAAAAUACAACACAUUUAUAUAAAAAAAAUAAUAAUAACAAAACAAUAGAGAACAGUCUUAACUCAAUCCUUGCAUAUUUCAAGAUCUAUAACAGCAUUAUCAUAACAAAUAAAAAUAUAUUAUCAGUAUAACAGCAAACAAGACAGUGACAUUUCAUAAGUAGCAGUUCGCUGUUUCGUAAUCUUCACUUUUUCAGGGUAAAAAUUUCAAGACUGUACAUAAAGGCUGUGAUCGGCUAACAAUGUCCCACACAAUUAGUGUUUUCAUUGUAUCAGACCAUGUGAGGGCUGCUAUAUCAUACCAUGCAGUCAAGGUCGUUAAAAACUCCCAUUAUCAUUGUUUAAUGCUUAACAGUAACAACUGUUAUUUAGCAAUUUUUUUCAAAAUCAUGCAAGGGAAUUUAACCAAUAAUGGUUAGUGUGUUAGGAGUUGUUUUUUACCCAUGGCAAACAGUUUUGAAUAAUUCUUAUUUUUUUACUAUCAAAUACUUAUAGCAGAGACAUAUAUACGUAUAUAUACAUAUGGGCGUUUUUCAAUAAAAACAUAUUUUCUUGUCCCAGCCACUUUAAAAAAAAUGUGUUUGAUCUUUGCAAGUAAUUUUUUGUGCAG
rnacentral:lncRNA from 1 species